AUUAAGGGGCGCAUGGAAAGCCAUACAACACCCCUGUGUUAUUUUUUCAUGCCUUUCUUGCCACCUCAUUUACCGAAGUUAACAAAACCCAUCACCUCCCUCCCCUUCUGCUGAAAUAAUCUCCUCUUCUCUCUGAAAUCAGCCAGGAAAAGAAGAAAAAAAAAAAAGGGGGGGGGGAGAAAAAAAAAAGAGCAUCUAAAAAUAAAGGCCAGGCCAGGGUAUGUGCCUCUUGGUUGGGCUCCUGUGCUCACAGAUCUGCUUAUUUUGGCCUAUCUCUCCCCAGCGAUAAGGCAGCUAACAGCCCGUUAUCAGCCAGUCGGUGAAAAUGUGCUCCAGCCUGAUUAGGGCUCAGUCUUUGCCAAGGUUAUAAACAGCCGUUAUCGUUCUCCCAAACAGAAUAAUCCGGACAGUAUCAGCUCAGAAACAUAUGGGCCACACAGCGAAGAUAGCCGCUGACGGACACUUCAUUUUAAUUGUAACGAGUGGUUAGCAGCAGCCUCCAGACAACACACACAACUGCCCAAUUGGCAGUGGGUUCCAUCUCCUCCUGCAGCCCUCCUCCCUCCCGCUUGCUGCCGCUCUGCUCCUCUCCCUGCUGCCCUGCAGAGCCUGCACCAGCAGCUCUGGAAGGGUGGCAGGUGCCCUGCACUGUCCCCAUGGGCAGCACCUUCACCUCUGCAGGUGGGAGCAGGAAACAAGAGGGCUUGAGGCCGCUGUGAUGGUGGGGUGACACCUCUCUGCCGGGAUGGAGCCAGACCUAGCUUCCAGAAAUAUACCUGAGCUCCAUUCCUGCUCCAGGAAAAAGUGGGAGGAGACCCCCAAAACAAAAACAAAACCAAAAAAACCUUGACAGCAAAAUGUUAAUAUGUGGAGACAAACUAAAAUCCUUAGGAAGACCCAGGACUGAGCUUCAAGUCACGGACGCUUUCUCAGAUAAUCUGUAUUCCUAUCUCAGUGCCAGCAGAGCUGUGAUCAGAAUAUCCAAGGUCUCAUAAAAGAUUCAGGGCUUAUUGACUUCCUUGCCUCCGCUGCCAGUUCGUGGUGCUCCUGCUCCUGCUCAGCCUCCAGAGCACUCGCUGCCCCUUGCAAGCUGCCAUCACAGAUGCCAAAGUUGAAGACAUCUACUUCUGUGCAGAGCAGUGGAGGAAAGCUCUCCUCUUGAGCUGGGGGGUGUAUUCCCAGCCCCAAACCCUGCAGAGAGGCACCUAAAGAGGGUGUUUGCCCCAAAGGGCAUCCCCAGCCCACAACAAACUCCCCUUGGAUGUCCCCAUGGUUGCCUUGGCAGCACUGCUCACCACACACAGUGGGCAGGUGAUGUGCCACCAGCAAAAGAGCAGAUUUAUGGCUUAUUUUAAUUCGAGUCGCACAUUUAGGUGAAAUAAUCUCCAGUCUGAAAAAAGCAAUCUUACAGCAAGAACCCCUCAAGAGCAGGCUUCCCUUCCCCUCAGACUGCACAUGGGUGAACUCUCCAAGGGCUGUCUCCAGCAGCACUGCAGCCCAAAUUUGCUGCAUAAGCAGCCCCGAGCAAAUGUGCCAACCAGAGAAUCCAGUCCCUGGAAAUUUAUGAUCAGUGUUACUCAAUCACAGCCCAAAGGAGAAGGGAUGGGGACACACAUUCCUUUAGGAGCACACUAUCCCAACUGUCACCCCAACUGUCACAGUGUACUCACUGGUUUUAGGCACAAAAGACCAGGUGAACGGUUGAACACGCCGUAAAUUAUGGAGGUUUACAUACUAGAGGCCUUCAUCCCUGAGUUACACAGAGAUGCUUGUGAACACCACAUCAACCAAGCAUGAUAAAACCAUCAAACCCACCCAGGCACCUCAUUAAUUGUAUUUAUGCAUCACCUAAAGCCUUACGUGCACACCAAGACUCCAUACUGGAAAGCACUGCAGGAUAUGGGAAACAAACUCAUAUAAAAAUAAAAUACUGCACAAAAUACACAGAUUUGUAUGUACACAUAUGCUCAAACACACACAGGCACUUGUGUGCUUCCACGUGGUGUGUGCACACACCCUCGUGGAGCUUGGACACCCCCGGAGGCGUAUCCAGGCACACACACACACGCCUCUAUCUGCAUGUAGGUAGCAACUAUUUAUACAUACACAAACCAUACAAAUGCUCCACGCACCCUGCUCGGUGACAGCUCCGAUUUUCAGUAAUAUCAUAAUAUUAUUUUUUAGAUCAGUUAAGGUAUAAAAUGUGCGCUCUCUCAGUCUUUAAUAUUAAUAAGUCUUGUAACUAGCAGUUUCUUGUAGCUCCGAAUUCUUGAGCACAACUAGAAAGGGCACUUAUCCUGAAAAAUCUAAUAAAUUUACAGUUUUAUAUACUUCCUUCAAUUGUAAAAGUCUUGUUCAAUAAACUUUAAAAUGCCACUAUAGAGCAAUAACACAGACAGUAUAAACCCAGCCCUGGGAAAGCUGUGCAACCAGAAAUUGUUCCCCUUUCUGCUACAGCAAUAAAGUUUUAUAUGUUUGAACUGA